UGUUAAUAAUUCAUCUAUUUAUAUUGUUAAAAAUUAGUGUGGCUGAUGGGAUAAUUAGACGCCACGUGUACGCCAUAUUGAUGUACGUAGACUAAUUUUUAACAAUAAAAAUGGAUGAAGUUUUUAACA
rfam:Gossypium raimondii Chr04_contig_1412, whole genome shotgun sequence.